rnacentral:rRNA from 1 species
UUGAUCAUGGCUCAGGAUGAACGUUGGCGGCAUGCCUAACACAUGCAAGUCGAACGGAGAAGCCCUUCGGGGUGGAUCAGUGGCUGAACGGGUGCGUAACACGUAGGUGACCUGCCUGACAGCGGGGGAUAACCAGCGGAAACGCUGGCUAAUACCGCAUAAGCUCGUAGUGUUUAGAAGGCUAUGAGGAAAGCUUUAGUACUGUCAGAGGGGCCUGCGGCCUAUCAGGUAGUUGGUGAGGUAACGGCUCACCAAGCCGACGACGGGUAGCUGACCUGAGAGGGUGGUCAGUCACAGGGGAACUGAGACACGGUCCCCACUCCUACGGGAGGCAGCAGUGAGGAAUAUUGGGCAAUGGGGGCAACCCUGACCCAGCAAUGCCGCGUGCAGGAGGACGCCCUUCGGGGUGUAAACUGCUUUUAUGCGGGAGCAGCAAGGAGCGUACCGCAUGAAUAAGUCACGGCUAACUACGUGCCAGCAGCCGCGGUAAUACGUAGGUGGCGAACGUUAUCCGGAAUUACUGGGCGUAAAGGGUCCGCAGGCGGAUGGGCAAGUCUGGCGUGAAAGCUCCCGGCUCAACUGGGAGAAGCCGUUGGAAACUGCCCGUCUUGAAUCACGCAGAGGUCGGUGGAAUUCCCGGUGUAGUGGUGGAAUGCGUAGAGAUCGGGAGGAACCUCGAAAGCGAAGGCAGCCGGCUGGGUGAUGAUUGACGCUGA